CAAGAGCUUUGGCCAUUCCUACCGUCAUCGCAAAUUAUUCUCAAAAUCUUUUCUUAUCCGUGAUUUAUUGGAUGCCUUGAAGAAGAGAAUCUAAACAUCGUGUUUGUAUUUCCAAAGGCACUGUUUCAUAAGUCGAUGGGGAAAGAUGAGAGUGAAGGAGAAAAACCAACAAGUUUUGAAGCAAGGUUUCAAAUGUUCACCUUGAAGUUUCCUAGCGUAUUCUUGGCGUGUUUUUAAUGCAUCCUCCAGACUUCUGUUGCAGGGAUCUCAACCUUUUUGAGCCAACGGGCAUAUUUGAAAUUUUGAUAAUGUAUUUUGAAGCCUCCCACAUUUUUCCUUUUUGAACAAGAAGACUUCAGUCGUAUGAACUAUUUUUAUUGUCUAAGAGGAUCUACACUGCUCAAGGCACUUUUGAGAGAAAAAAAGAAAACGCCAGAAGCUGAUCUUUUGCUAUGUGGCAUGUCUUUUAUGUUGAAUGCCUAGAUGAAAUAAAGAUGGAUACCAAAGAAGAUGUUUUGGAACUGAUUGAGGUCUAUAAGCACCACCCUGGUCUCAGCUCAGUUCCCUAAAGGAGCAGAUCAAGAGCUAAUAAAAAGAAGAAUGGAAAAUA